UGGGGAAUCUUCCGCAAUGGACGAAAGUCUGACGGAGCAACGCCGCGUGAGUGAAGAAGGUUUUCGGAUCGUAAAACUCUGUUUUCAGGGACAAAUGUGCAGCUUGUAAAUAAUGAGUUGUACUGACGGUACCUGAGUAGAAAGCCACGGCUAACUACGUUCCAGCAGCCGCGGUAAUACGUAGGUGGCACGCGUUGUCCGGAAUUAUUGGGCGUAAAGCGCGCGCAGGUGGGAUAUUAAGUCUGGUGGUAAAGUUCGGGGCUCAACCCCGUGAAGCAUUUGGAUACUGAUAUUCUUGAGUGCAGGAGAGGCAAGUGGAAUUCCUAGUGUAGCGGUGAAAUGCGUAGAUAUUAGGAGGAACACCAGUGGCGAAGGCGACUUUCUGGACUGUGUCUGACACUGAGGCGCGAAAGCCAGGGUAGUGAACG
rnacentral:rRNA from 1 species